CAGAGAAGUCCUGGCUAAUUCCGUGCCAGCAGCCGCGGUAAUACGGAGAGGGCUAGCGUUAUUCGGAAUUAUUGGGCGUAAAGGGCGCGUAGGCGGAUUAGUAAGUUAAAAGUGAAAUCCCAAGGCUCAACCUUGGAAUUGCUUUUAAAACUGCUAAUCUAGAGAUUGAAAGAGGAUAGAGGAAUUCCUAGUGUAGAGGUGAAAUUCGUAAAUAUUAGGAGGAACACCAGUGGCGAAGGCGUCUAUCUGGUUCAAAUCUGACGCUGAGGCGCGAAGGCGUGGGGAGCAAACAGGAUUAGAUACCCUGGUAGUCCACGCUGUAAACGAUGAAUGUUAAAUAUGGGAAGUUUUACUUUCUGUAUUACAGCUAACGCGUUAAACAUUCCGCCUGGGGACUACGGUCGCAAGAUUAAAACUCAAAGGAAUUGACGGGGACCCGCACAAGCGGUGGAGCAUGUGGUUUAAUUCGAUGCAACGCGAAAAACCUUACCACUCCUUGACAUGGAAAUUAUACCUAUUCGAAGGGAUAGGGUCGGUUCGUCCGGGUUUCACACAGGUGUUGCAUGGCUGUCGUCAGCUCGUGUCGUGAGAUGUUGGGUUAAGUCCCGCAACGAGCGCAACCCUCAUCCUUAGUUACCAUCAGGUAAUGCUGGGGACUUUAAGGAAACUGCCAGUGAUAAACUGGAGGAAGGUGGGGAUGAUGUCAAGUCAUCAUGGCCCUUAUGGAGUGGGCUACACACGUGCUACAAUGGUGGCUACAAUGGGCUGCAAAGUCGCGAGGCUAAGCUAAUCCCUUAAAAGCCAUCUCAGUUCGGAUUGUACUCUGCAACUCGAGUGCAUGAAGUUGGAAUCGCUAGUAAUCGUGGAUCAGCACGCCACGGUGAAUACGUUCUCGGGUCUUGUACACACUGCCCGUCACGCC
rnacentral:rRNA from 1 species